CAAGUCGCACGAGAAAGGGAGCAAUCCUGAGUACAGUGGCGCACGGGUGAGUAACACGUGGAUUAUCUACCUUUUAGUGGGGAAUACCUCUGGGAAACCGGAGACAAUACCGCAUAAGCCCGCAAGGGGAAAGCAGCAAUGCGCUGAAAGAGGAGUCCGCGGCUGAUUAGCUAGAUGGUGGGGUAAUGGCUCACCAUGGCGAAGAUCGGUAGCCGGCCUGAGAGGGCACACGGCCACACUGGCACUGAAAUACGGGCCAGACUCCUACGGGAGGCAGCAGUGGGGAAUCUUGCACAAUGGAGGAAACUCUGAUGCAGCGACGCCGCGUGAGCGAUGAAGCCCUUCGGGGUGUAAAGCUCUUUCGACGGGAACGAUAAUGACGGUACCCGGAGAAGAAGCUGCGGCUAACUACGUGCCAGCAGCCACGGUAAUACGUAGGCAGCAAGCGUUGUUCGGAAUUAUUGGGCGUAAAGAGUGUGUAGGCGGUGCUCCAAGUCUGUUGUGAAAUCUCCCGGCUUAACUGGGAGGGUGCGGCGGAAACUGGAAUGCUAGAGGGUGGGAGAGGUAAGCGGAAUUCCUGGUGUAGCGGUGAAAUGCGUAGAUAUCAGGAGGAACACCUGUGGUGUAGACAGCUUACUGGACCACUUCUGACGCUGAGACACGAAAGCGUGGGUAGCAAACA
rnacentral:rRNA from 1 species